rnacentral:lncRNA from 1 species
CGUUUCAUCAGCCGAGCGCCCCCCCGGGACGCCGGAAGGAGCCUCCGCGCGGAGCCGACCACGUGCACGGCAUCUUGGGGCACGGGUUCCCGCCGUCUCCCCACUGUAAAGGAGCGGCUUACUCCAGAGGUCCAGCCCCCUCACACACAAUCACGGAACCCGUGGAUGAGGCAGUAUUUGAGACCAGAAGUUUAUUGGGGACUUGGGUUUGGUUUUUGUUUGGUUGGUUUUGUCGUUGUUUUUAGAGUCGGGGGUUUCGCUGUGUUGCCCAGGCUGCUAUCGGACUCCUGACCUCAAGCGAUCCUCUUGCUUGGCCUCCCAAAGUGUUGGGAUUACAGGCGUGAGCCACCGCACCUGGCCGGGGACUUGUUUCUAAUGGAAAAUUGUGUAUGUGCUGUAUUGUUAAGAGCAUUGGUUUGGGGUCAGACUAGGCUGUGAUUCGGGUCUCUCCACUUCUUAUUAUCGUCUUUGCUACCAGACACAUACUCACUCGUGUUCCCAAUUGCUAUACUCACAAGGGCUCACUCCCAUCGCCAUCCUUCGUAAUUUCAAAGGGUCUACGGUUAAAAAGACAGGGUUUCCCCCUGUUGCCCAGUCUGGCAUCGAUCACCUAAGCUCAAGCGAUCCACCCAUCUUGGCCUCCCAAAAUGCUAGGAUUAUAGGUGUCAGCCACUGCACCCGGCCGUAAGUUAUUUUCAAGUAGGAAAAAAAGGAGGCUGCCUGCUCCUUAACUCUUCAAGCCUACCCAUCCCUAUCAAUCAUCCCUUCAAACACAGUAAACUAUGGCUUUAAAUUCACAGCUGACCCAGGAGCCAGUGGCAUCUGAAAUUUUUUUAAAAGCCAGAGAAGAUCUAUGUUGACCUGAUGAUCUUUCACCUUCUAGAUCUCCCUGAACCACUGGCCAAAUCUUUCAAUAAAGAAUGUGCUUAACCUGCCUCUUAAGACCCAUGUAUUUGCACAAGAAGGAAAAAAAAAACCAGAAAAAAAAGCAAAACUAGAGCUGCCUGCCUGUGCUGAAGCUUUUUCAGUAAUUUCAGAGCCACUGAAGUGAUGUGAGAUCAGUUGACAAGAGAAAAACACUCUGAGAUCUGCCAGAAUGACCCUCAAGGGGAGAAAAAUAAUUAAACAGGUGGAAAAACAAGGAACACGCAAGACUGAUCAAAGCGUUUCUUUUCUGUUGAACAGCUUUUGCUGACUUCUGGUACCAUCAGUUUUCUUGAGUACAAUAAAGACCAACAAAUGCAGAAUGUUAGUUACGGGCCUUACUCAAUCAGGCUCAAAGGCUUUACUGGGGUUACAGGAAGCCAAGUACCCAGUCCACUAAUGUCCUGGGAGAAAAGCCUGAAGGCAGAGCAUGGUAGGUUUUCUCUUGCAGCCUGCAGGCUGAUCUGAUGGGACUUCAAUUCUGUCACUUCCUUGCUCUGUGACAUUGAACAUUCUGUAAGCCUCUGGGCCUCAGCUUUCUCAUCCAUGGAAGUGGGAUUACAGUGUCUAACCUGCAGGGCUGCUGUGUGUUUAUAUAUGUGCAUAGAACAUAAUGGCCUUCCCUUGAUAGAAGCAGAGAUUGGACAUGUGGCCUCUGACAAGUUACUUUUUUUUUUCUACAAGUUUCCCUCUCCUCUCCCCCAUUCAGAAAGUGGAAGGGGUAAUUCUUCAGGGAAUUUGUGAGAUGUUACCACAAGGUUACACAAUGGCUUGCUGUAAACUAUUUUAUGUCUUUUUUUUUUUUUUUUUUUUGAGACGGAGUCUUGCUCUGUCACUCAGGCUGGAGUGCAGUGGUGCGAUCUCGAUCUCAGCUCACUGCAACCUCCAACUCCCAGGCUCAAGCGAUUCUCAUGCCUCAGCAUCCUGAGUAGCUGGGACUACAGGUGCACACCACCACGCCCCAGUAAAUUUUUUGUAUUUUCAGUAGAGACAGGGUUUCGCUAUGUUGGCCAGGCUCGUCUCGAACUCCUGGCCUCAAAUGAUCCACCAGCCUCGGCCUCCCAAAGUGCUGGGAUUACAGGUGUGAGCCAUAUUUUAUGCCUUUUAUCAGGGCAUCCUCUGUAGGUUUACAUGACAUAAAAUUGCCCAGAGGGCAACUGAAGAGCAUCACUCUACAAUUUGGGAGAGGUAAAGGGAAAAGAAUCAGAUGGGUAAGAUACAUAAAAGGUAUAUAGCUAUGAAGUUGUUCAAUACUCAGUACACACCGUGGUUAAACACAGAUGCAAAAGCCGGAUUGCAAGUUUGAAUCUUGGCUCCAUCACUGCACAUCCUUGGGCUGGUUCCUUAACCUCUCUCAGUCUCAUAUCCCAUAAAAAAAAAAAAAGAAUUAAAUUAGUCAAUAUAAAUGUAAAAGUUCUUACAACUAGCUGGCACAUAGAAAGCUGUUAGCAGGCAGGGCAUGGUGGCUCACAUCCAUAAUCCCAGCACUUUGGG